UACGUAGGGUGCGAGCGUUGUCCGGAAUUAUUGGGCGUAAAGGGCUCGUAGGCGGUUUGUCGCGUCGGGAGUGAAAUCCACUGGCUUAACUGGUGGCUUGCUUUCGAUACGGGCAGACUGGAGGUAUGCAGGGGGAGAACGGAAUUCCUGGUGUAGCGGUGAAAUGCGCAGAUAUCAGGAGGAACACCGGUGGCGAAGGCGGGUCUCUGGGCAGUAACUGACGCUGAGGAGCGAAAGCGUGGGGAGCGAACAGG
rnacentral:rRNA from 1 species